rnacentral:rRNA from 1 species
GAUGAACGCUGGCGGCGUGCCUAAUACAUGCAAGUCGAGCGAACGGACGAGAAGCUUGCUUCUCUGAUGUUAGCGGCGGACGGGUGAGUAACACGUGGAUAACCUACCUAUAAGACUGGGAUAACUUCGGGAAACCGGAGCUAAUACCGGCUAAUAUUUUGAACCGCAUGGUUCAAAAGUGAAAGACGGUCUUGCUGUCACUUAUAGAUGGAUCCGCGCGGCAUUAGCUAGUUGGUAAGGUAACGGCUUACCAAGGCAACGAUGCAUAGCCGACCUGAGAGGGUGAUCGGCCACACUGGAACUGAGACACGGUCCAGACUCCUACGGGAGGCAGCAGUAGGGAAUCUUGCGCAAUGGGCGAAAGCCUGACGGAGCAACGCCGCGUGAGUGAUGAAGGUCUUCGGAUCGUAAAACUCUGUUAGUAGGGAAGAACAUAUGUGUAAGUAACUGUGCACAUCUUGACGGUACCUAAUGAGAAAGCCACGGCUAACUACGUG